UUCUGUAUGAGUGGCUGCCCAGCUUCCUGCAGAAAACACCCCCCAAGUAUGCAGGACACAGCCCUUUCCUGGACCCCAGCAUCUCCCCAGAGUUCCUGGCCGCUUCUGAGCAAUUCUUCUCUACCAGGUGCCUCCUGGCGGCUACAUGAGCAUCCAAAUCUACGAAGAGCUGAAGAUGUGGACGCGCUGCUGCUGGGCAUGGCCUCCCAGAUCGCUGAGCGAGAGGACCAUGUCGUGGUGGAGGAUGUGCUAGGUGACGCUGAGGCUGUCCCUGCAGGCUGGGUACUGCUGUCACCUGGGUGGGGAUUCUGCUGGAGCUCCAGUGUCAGGCCAGGAGGAGUGACCGGGGCUGGGAGCCUGCACUCUCUCACUGCUCAGACACCUGUUGACCAUGGUUCCCUCUGUGUGAUUCUGGCCCCCCUGGGGCUGGUUGGAGACUGGGUCCUGGGCUAGUGGAGCUGUGGUGGCCCUGUGCUCCCUCAGAUUCUCUGCUAUUUCAUCCCCAGGUUUCUGGCCAGGACCCCUGAAGUUUUCCCGUACAGACCACCCGGCUGGCUGCAUGCAGAGGGGCUGGGAUCUGGGCCUGCCCUCUUAUACCAAGGCCAGGGAAGCACUGGGUCUGCCUCCCAUUACCAGAUGGCAGGACAUCAACCCUGCACUCUCCCAGAGCAACCACACCGUAAGGAGGGGUUGGGACGCAGAGGGCGGGGUGGGAGGGCCAAGGCACAUUGGCCCAAGACAUGGAAGGAAGACAGUGAGGCACAAACACUAGAGACAAGUCCCUGGUGAGAGGGAUGGGACUCGCCCACGUGGUUUUUCCCAAUAUCAUCUACGAGGAUGGAAGUUACCAGACCAGCAGGAUUUGGCAGUAGACCUUGUGACUCUGCAGAUCCAGCAAAUGUUUGCUGAGCAUGUCUUGCACGCCAGGCACUUAAUAAGCAUUACCUCGUUUACUCUUCCCAACAGCCAUCUGAGCAGGUGUGGAAGGUCCUCAACCCAGGAACAAGCUGUACUUUUUUAUACACUGACACUCGGGCUGCCUUUGGGGAGUCAACUGUUACUCCCUGAGCUGUCGCCUGGGCCACGUGGCAUUGCCUGCCAGCCAACAGAGCAGUUUUGGUGGCCUUACCAUCUUGGCAUAGUGGCGUUUCUACAAUUGCACGCUGGUUUUACUGCUUUCGUCCUUACUGUUUAGAAGAUUGUUGGAAAGUGGAGAAGUGAAAGGCCGAUGAAGAAGCAAUAUGCACGUGGGGCGUAUAAACUUUAUACAGUCAAUAGAAAGGUAGGAAUCACCAGGCGAACCAAAAGUAGCAAGUCUUUAGCUCCCCUGGGCCUCGCUGGAAUUUAAGCUGAGCAAAUGUUUGUUUACAUUGCAGAGAAAAGAACUAAAGUCAAGGUCAGGUAGAAAAUGCUGCUCAUAGAAGGUUGAAGUCUGUCUCCAAAAGGCAAUGUGUAUGCAGGGAUUUGAUUUAUACAAACUUUUUUAGCUCUCAAGAAUAGAAACCUUUUCGGGGCACCUGGGUGGCUCAGUCGUUGAGUGUCUGCCUUCGGCUCAGGGCGUGAUCCCAGAGUCCUGGGAUCGAGCCCCACAUCAGGCUCCUCCGCUGGGAGCCUGCUUCUUCCUCUCCCACUCCCCCUGCUUGUGUUCCCUCUCUCGCUGGCUGUCUCUCUCUCUGUCAAAUGAAUAAAUAAAAUCUUUAAA
rnacentral:lncRNA from 1 species